AUGGGGUUUGGGGAGGGCAUUGUGGAACCAACCGUCAACUCCAAGGAAAUAAUAACUUUUCAUUACCAAGACCCUCUUUCCUUCAUGCAGAAAGACCCAGCAGGCUACCAGACUUGCCUGUACAUGUCUGAAUUUACUGAACGUAUGUUCACAAAACAUACCUGGCUCAGGAGAAAGAACGUGGUGUGCUGGUGUGCAAGGACCAAGCAGUGGGAGCAUCUUUCUCAGGCACAGGUAACGCGGGGUGCAUUGUCUAUAGAGACUUUAAAAACAGAAAGAUAACCAACUAAAAGUCAUUCUGCUUCCUUAUUAUCACCCUACGCUAACAUUUUUUUUUUUAAUUUUUUUUCAACGUAUAUUUAUUUUUUGGGGGACAGAGAGAGACAGAGCAUGAACGGGGGAGGGUCAGAGAGAGAGGGAGACACAGAAUCGGAAACAGGCUCCAGGCUCUGAGCCAUCAGCCCAGAGCCUGACGCGGGGCUGGAACUCAUGGAGCGCGAGAUCGUGACCUGGCUGAAGUCGGACGCUUAACCGACUGCGCCACCCAGGCGCCCCCUAACAUUUCUAAACAAUAUUCCUCCCUGAAUCAAAGUCUUUUGUUUGUCUAAUUUCUUUACAAUUAUUGUGGUAAUUGUAUAUUUUUGAACUACCUCAUCCUUUCAUUAUCAUUGUUUUCUAUGGAAGUCAGUUCAGAGAACUUUCAAUGAUUCAGUCAAUCACAUACUCAUGGACUCAGCUACAUAGUACCUCAGGGGAUAACGGGAUUGGAGGGAAAUUUUCUAAAAUGGUAUAUUAUACCAAGCUGGUAGAUAAAGGGAAGGCGUCAGUAGAAUGGGAGAGAUCAAAGAGAAGGGGUGAUAUGUAAUUCAUCAAAGUCUGUAGGCUUUUGUAGUUGUGGUUCCCUUUGGUGACUCUGGGCCUGACCGUGACUGUGCUUGAAGAAUGGGACAAUAACACAUGUGAGGCAAACAGAGGCAUGUAAAGUGCUUGCACACAGAGGCUUGCUCCCUUUUGGCCCUUGGGGGGGACCCUGUAAUCACUAAUGGAUGCUCUAGAUGAUGAGUGACACAUGGACUAGCCACUUUUGUUACCCAGUUGACAUUAGGCUGAUUUCCAGACAUGUAAGUCUAUUCUAGACCAUUCUGUCCCAGGCAAGCCUCCAGCUGGUCAUGUGAGUGAAUACAGCUAUAAUUAGCCACACUGGCCCACGCGAGCAGAAACAUCCAGCUUACCUUUAGACUUGUGAGCAAUGCUGUAUGAUUGUUGUCUUAAGCCACCAAGUUUUGAGGUGAUUUGUGACACAGCAGUUAUAAAGUCCUUGAGUAGAUGAGUAAGGAUGUCGUAGAAGGCAGAGGAAGAAGAGACAGAUUGAUCUUGGAUAUAAGAUAAUAUAUAUCUAUCUAUGUUCAAAUCCCACCCCCCACCCAAACACAAACACUCCUUCUCCCACUUCCCUUCAGGGUGAGGAGAAAGAAUGUAGGCUCUGAGCUGCAACUGUCUAAAUUUAAAUCCUGGCUUUGUUCCUUGUUGGCUGGGUGGUGUUGGGCACACAUCUUAUUCACCUGUAAAAUAGAGAUGAUGGUAUUUACUUCACAAAGUUGUUGAAAAGAUUAAGUGAUGUAUCAUAUUACCAUGUGGCUCACAAUAAAUGAUCAUAAUAAAUAUUUUAAGUGUUAGCU
ensembl:lncRNA